UGUACCUGUGACCAGGAUCACCUGUGUGGGAGAGGACAAAUUUCCUUCUACAGAAACGAAAUCCUUGUGAGUUCUGAUUCUGUGUCUCACAACAUCUAUCACAUUCACCAAGCGACUCCAAUGGAUUCAGGAUUGUACCGCUGCAUGGUUUUCCAGAACCAUUUGAUGUUCACGUCCCUCCAGGUGGAAGUCACUGUCCAGAAACGAGACCACACUGUUGUGACUUUGGUGCAUCUCUGCCUCAGUGUCUUCAUGCUCAUUGUGAUGGUGGUCAUCAUUGCUGAACAUUUUAAAAAUGGCUUAACACCUACAGGGGAGUGAAAGGAUCUGACAAGACAAACUGUUCACGACUCCACAACAGGAGUGUAAUGCUCGAAGUGGGAAUCGAUUAAAUUACUGUUUCUAAUGUUUCUUCAGAAGAUGGGUUACAAAGUGUGCUUUCUGCUAGUUGUUAAUCACUGGUACCUUCACUCAAGCUCCUCCCACUCUCUCCCCCAUCUGCAUUCAGGAAACUGCGAAGCUUCUCAUCCAAUCAUAUAUGGUGCGAGAGGCCCUUCGGCCUAUUGAAUCUGUCCUGCCAAAUACUGUUAUAUAUUUACAGCUGCUGCACUUUACAGCCCAUUGCCUCGGAUUAUUAUUAUCCUCUAGGGGAAGGACUUAAUAUGGAGCCACCUCGCUGUUCCUCCAAACCCAAACAAUCCACGUUCAUCCUAACUGCCCCUCUGGGCAAGUAGAAUGGACAAAUGUUAUGUUUGCAUGCAACAA